AUGAGGUUGCAGUCAUCUGAAUACUUGCUCUGGGAUGUAAGAUCUAAUUCUAUGCUGGCUCCCACAUACAUGCCCGGCAGUUGAUGCCAGCUAUCAAUAAGAAGGCUCACGUUUUUGCCACUCCAGAAGUCUGCUUGAGAGUCUUUACAACAUGCUGGCUUCCCCCAAAGUGAGUGGUCCCAAAGACAGCAAGGUGGAGGCAAGGUUAUCUUGAAAACUUGGCCUCAGAAGUAACAUGGCAUCAUUCCUGCAACAUCUUAUUGGUUAUAUAGUCGAGAGAAAAAUAUAGUUUUAAAAAUUGUGCUACUACAGAAAGUCUGCAAAAUGCAAUGAAAACGAGAAAACUAGAAUACAUGUACCCAGAGAUAAAAUAACGUUACUGGGAAUCCUCCGUGCUGAAUGAAACAGCCUCAAAAUUCUUACCAAGACUUCUUCAUUCAAACACCUGGUUAGAGCCAACUAUGAGCAAGCACAUGCUAAGAAUUGGGAAGCAGAAAGAAGAGCCGAGGGGUCCAUCCACGUAGGCUCCACACUGCAGUGGCAAGUGAGACAUACAUCCACCAAUACCCAUGCAUCAAAGGUAUUUAACAAAUAAGUACACAAGGAUCAAUGUCAUAAAAAAUGAAGUAACAGGUGGAAAGAUAACCUAUAGAAGGGGAACCCAAAUUUGAACAGAAUGCCAGGCCCAGAACACUUUCCUUGAGAUGCUAACUGAGCUCUAGAAGAAAGAUGAGGAAGGGAGAUUCCUAUUUCAGGUAACAUAGUGAACUAGACAACCUCAAAACCCUCACAGUGAAAACAUUUUGAAAAGUUAACAAGGAACAUAUAUGUGUGCGUGUGUGUGUGUGUGUGUGUGUGUGCGCACGCACGCAUAUAAAACUUAAGUUGGCAUCACAGCAAAAAUACAAAAAUGAAAAGCAAGUCCAAGUUGGAAAAUUAGAAUAUAAGUAAUCCCUGAAACUCAGUAUUGCUUUGAGGGGAAUGGCUCUUGACCUUCUGCUUUCACUGCUGUGAGGGUGCAGGAGGGAGAAGAUGAGGCCCAUGGCCUGGCUUAAGAGGGAGUCAGAGAGAGAACCUUUGCAUGAAGUUAGGACCCGAAUCCUACACUCUUAGUAUAAAGGUGAUUUAGAAACAAACCCCCACACACAGAAGGGAGGAACAGAAAACACACUGAUUUUUAUCUGGAUGACUACUAAAGUGGGGGUGGGAGGCCUUCCCUGAGAAUUAGCACCCUCAAGAUGGAUCACACAGUGGUGUGUUGUCUGGACUCAAGCUAUCUGGUGUCUGACAGACCUCAAAUGCAGAAUUUAAUUCAAAGUGAUUAGGACUGACAGGGCCUCAGGCAACUAGCCGCAAUAAAUGCAAAUCUGCUUCCAGGCAAACACAACA